UUGUAAACAUGUCCAUAAGUCAUAUCAUGCAAUUCAACCAUACACUGAUUUCAACAGUAUGUAGGACGUUCACCAUACACAUCUUCUUUACAGGCAUAUCGGUAAUUCGUUUUCAUCUCAGCAUAGGAAUUAGUUAUGCAUGUUGCAUACUGUGGUUUAUCGUACCUGUCCAACUGUACACAAUCGUAUAUCCCGCUUGGUUCAUAAUCCGGAUUACAGUGCUGCAAACCAGUGCAUAGAGUUAUUAAACCUAAUAUAGAAAUUGCUCUGCACACUUGUUGUACUAUAUUCAUGACUUUAAAAACUGCUACCACAAGAUGAACAUUUAAC
rnacentral:lncRNA from 1 species